GAUGAACGCUAGCGGCAGGCCUAAUACAUGCAAGUCGUACGGCAACACAGUUGCGAGCAAUCGCAACCGGUGGCGAGUGGCGCACGGGUGAGUAACGCGUAUGUAACCUACCCUUCUCCGGGACAUAACUCCGCGAAAGCGGUGCUAAUAUCCCAUACCAACUCAUCAAGACAUCUUCUUGAGUUGAAAGCAGCGAUGCGGUGAAGGAUGGGCAUGCGUCCCAUUAGCUGGUUGGUGAGGUAAUGGCCCACCAAGGCUACGAUGGGUAGGGGUUCUGAGAGGAAAGCCCCCCACACUGGUACUGAGACACGGACCAGACUCCUACGGGAGGCAGCAGUAAGGAAUAUUGGGCAAUGGUCGAAAGACUGACCCAGCCAUGCCGCGUGCAGGAUGAAGGCCCUAUGGGUUGUAAACUGCUUUUAGCCGGGAAUAAACACCCGUUUUAUAACGGGCCCGAAGGUACCGGCUGAAUAAGCAUCGGCUAACUCCGUGCCAGC
rnacentral:rRNA from 1 species